rnacentral:rRNA from 1 species
UACGUAGGGGGCAAGCGUUGUCCGGAUUUAUUGGGCGUAAAGAGCGUGUAGGCGGCUAGGUAGGUCCGUUGUGAAAACUCGAGGCUCAACCUCGAGACGCCGGUGGAAACCAUCUAGCUAGAGUCCGGAAGAGGAGAGUGGAAUUCCUGGUGUAGCGGUGAAAUGCGCAGAUAUCAGGAAGAACACCCGUGGCGAAGGCGGCUCUCUGGGACGUGACUGACGCUGAGACGCGAAGGCCAGGGGAGCAAACGGG